ACAUGCCUGUUUGCCCUUGACGGGGCUGUGUAGCAGAGCGCCCAGCUGGACGAAUCUCCCAGCCAGUUGGGGAGCCCCUCUGAGGGUCAUUCCUGCGGAUGUGGCCGUCGGGAGGACCAGCCCGUUUGCAGACCAAGCUUUUGCUUCCUCUCAUCCCUCCUGAGGAAGACCCUGGGAAAGGAAUGCUCUUCCUGCGGGCCCUUCCUCAGACACCAGGCAAACGGGUGAAGGUGCAGAGGUCGGCGGUGAGGAGGGGCCCCUGCGGUCUGCCAGGACCACCUCAUAAUUCCGUGUGUGUUCCUUGACGGAAGGGGCAGCAGAGCACCCAGCACUGGAUACUCAGUGUCAGAUGAGUGAACAAGCAAAUGGCUGAUGUCUGGUUUCAAUGUUUGCCUACGAGGAGAUGUACUCCGCUCCCAGCUCUUAGCCUCACCAUGCAGUGGAAGGGAAGGAGGCUUCUGAACUGGCAGCUCUACAUUCUUCCCCUCUCUGUGCAACUUGUUUAGAUCACAGAACUGGAAGGGACCCCAAAAAUCCCAUUCUCCCACCCCUCCGAUUAGAGAGGAAGAAACAGAGGCCCAGACUCAACAGACUUGCCAAAACCCAUGGACCUGGUUGGGGGCCCACAUCUAGCACUUUCCCCAGCCUCACAGCCUGCCUUGUUUAUUUGUUCAGCAGUUUUUGUUUCGCCAUGGCACAGCUUGUUCCGACUCUGGAACAUUUAUGAGAUGAGCCAAUUUUUAAAAAUCAUAGAAAAUAAAUGGUUUGCUCUUGGAGCUGAAGGGCGGGGCAGCCAGGGUGGGAGACAGGUUCCAGGCCAGUUCUGGGGCAGAAUUUUGGCUUAUCCUUUGCUGUGUUUUUUUAUUCUCCUGCCUUGGGAACCAAAAGGAUUUCAGUGGGAUUUCCUGCCUCGAUUUCUCCAGUACUAUGAUAUGGAAAGACUAGAACAUUCAACCAUACACUUUCUGAUUCUCACCUCCACCAUCAUUAGUUCCAUUCCAAACUCUGGCUCCUACCCAUUGAGUUCAAGCUACAGCCUGAUUCAACUGAUCAACCUGGGGAUGGUGGUGUCAGGACUAGCACCUGGACCAUUCUGCCUCCUCUGCCUGCAACAUCCUCUCUAUCUGCUUGUGAACUCUUCUCCUUCAAAACCCAGCGGUUACGUCACCACUUCUAAAACCUUGAACUGAUUCCCCACGUAGUCGGCCAGCUACUUUUUAAAUUUAAAAAAGCCCAACCAGAAUAAACAGGAUAGCUAAAAUGCUGAA
rnacentral:lncRNA from 1 species